AAAAUCCCGAUUCUUUUUGUUCUUCUUCUCCAAACUUCGAUUCCAGCUUCCUUCCUCAAUAAUAUUUCGGUUUCUUCUCCUUCCCAAGCUCUGGUCUUUUGAGAACUCCCCCACUUCAAGAAUUCGAACAAGAUUAGAACUCCACAAGCCCUUUAAAUCUUUCAUCCUCUCCUUCUUCAAACUCCUCAACUCCCUCAAAUCUACGAGCAAGGCCAGCUAGGGUUCGAAAAUUGGACGUUGGCUAUCCGGGUUUGCACACAGUUCAUCCCCCUCUUGAGUUCCAGAUUAGCUAUGUCGACGAUUUGGACCGGCUGGAGCGCGAAUUCCGACGGUUAUAAGAGUUGAAGACUGCCGGUACUUCAACGUACAUAGCCAUCCGGAUGGAAUCUCAUCUACAAGCAUGGCAUGACACUCGGGCUUCUGCUGGACUUGAGAUUCAAAUGCAACAAAGUCAGGUGGAUCAAAUGGAGGCCGUCCUCACUGAGAAACAAACAUCUACGCGUCAACUCAAAUCCUCUAUUACGUCGGGUAAGGCUAAGAUAGAGCAACCCGAAGAGGAGCUCAAAGCAGAGGUGGAGGCCUUGGCUAUCUUAGGGAUGACGAAGGAUGACUUGGAGCGUUCACAAGUUGUGAUAUCCGGAAAAUUGGAGCUCUCGAAACAAAAGUUAGCCAAGAUCAAACAAGAGGCUGUGAAAACAUUAUCCCUCACUGAGGAAUCCUUCAAGGUUGCAUUGCAGUGUGAGCUUGAGCGAACUUAUACAGAGGAAUUGACUAAACUUGAACAGCAAGUCUGUAGUCACAAACUUCAUGUAGAUUGAUUGUAACUCUUGUACCUGCAAACUCAAUUUUAUUAAUAGAAGAUAUGUCUUUUUCA